UCCUCCUCAUGCCCCCUUAGUGAGGGGCGGGAGCUUUGGCGGCAGCUCCGGGGCGGGGAGACAAGCCCCGGAGUCGGAAGAGCUGGGUUUGCUUCCGGGCUUAGCCACCAGCUGGCCGAGUGACCUUAGGCAAAUCACUCUGUAAUUUGUCAGCGCCUCAGUUUCCUCCUCUGCCUAUCAAUGUUUGUAGGGUUGAAAGCGCUUUGUAAACUAUAAAGCGUCGGUGUACGUAAGGGAUGAUUAUUAUUUGUAAUGGGGUUUUUUUUGAGUUGUAAAAAAAGUUAGCAAUUGCCCAGUUCUUGGAUUUUGAACCUGGGAACCUUGGAUUGGAGUUGGAAGCCCCCAAGUUCCCCCGAAAUUGUAUGCAGAAAUAGUGGGAGUGUGCAUUUGGGGGAAUGAGGAUCCAUCGCCAGCAAGUUUUCAAAGGGGGGCUGUGACCCAGAAGAGUUAAGAACUACAAUUCCGUAAUGCCACGAGGAGGAAACUGAGGCCUGGAUGUCAUUUGGGACCCUUCACAACCGAUUUGAAGCCCCUGUUAGGAUCCCUGGGAUAUGUGAGCUGUUUCUAUGCAUAAUGGAUAUUUGGGGUAACAACACUCCACUGCUUGGCUUCUAUUCUGAGUCCUUUCCUUUUACCAUGGGGUGCCUGAACGCUGGCUGACGUGUAUGGUAUGGUUUAUGGCACGCAAUAUAAAGCAGCUGAAACUAGAAAUGGAUGUGUUCCCUAGUAUCGAGAAACCUAUUUAAUCCUUGGCCCAGCAACUCUUGUUUUUCUGCUGCUUAUACUGGUGCCUGACUACCUUUCCCUUUCAUUGACCAUUUUCCACGACCAUGGUUGCCAUCCAUUACUUGCUUCUAUUGUAUAUCUUUAGUCUCUGCGGUUGGUAGUGAGCAGGCUUAUUUUUAAAUGGUGCUGCCGAGUCCAGCUAAUUAAUGGUGCAGGUGGAUUUUUAGCAAGCUGGCUCACUGGAACAGACUAAACCAGGCAUGGAAUUCUUGAAGAUGUUUGGGGGCUUAUCUUUAUUAAUUGAAGGUUAGCAUUCUCUGAAAUUUUGUUAUGACUUUGGCUGAACUUCAAAAUCAGUAGAUUUGGAAGUGUUUCAGUGCUUACUUUUUUCCUGGCCUGCUUUGUAUUCUAUUUGCUUGCAAGUGUGUUACUAAGAUGGCCAAGAUGCCAGUUAUUGCUUCUUUGUUAAUUGUCAGCUGCUUUUAUCAAAUUCCAGGCCAUUAUCCAGCAAACACUAUAGAAAUGUUUGAACAGUUGUAUUUCAAACAUUUUCUCUUUGUGGAGUGGUGCUUACCAGUGGUACAGCUCUAAGCAAGUGAACAUAAAUACAUAUAAGUGUAUUUCGUCUGGUUAGGUGUUCACCUGUUUUGUUAUUUCAUACAAAUGUCUGAGAAAAUCAGUUGACUAUUCCUUUUACGUAAAGGGCAGAGACAAAUGAUCUCACUUCCAGAGAAAGGACUGUUGUAGAGAAAAAUGUGUUGGUCUUUUAGCUCCUUUGUUAUCUGGAUGUACCUCAAAAGAAUCUUAAGACUGUGGUGAUCUUAUAAGAUGCUUUCCUCAGGAGAAAAGAGGAAAAAAAACAACUGGAACUCAAAGCUUGAAAUUCUGUAACAAAACAUGAGAUGUCCAGGAUAGGAGGCCGAAAAGAUUUCACUACAGUGUUCUGCACUAGCUGCAGCAGAUGCUUUUCUGUGUAGCCACGGCAUGGACUCCCGAUUUCCAGAUUUUCAAGAACUGCACCUGGGACCUGAAGAGCUCGUCAGGAUGUGACAGGGACUCUGGAGCUGAACAUACUUGUUUUUGAAUCUGGGGGCUGUUGACCUUGAUUUGAGAAGAGACAACAAUGGAGCAAGCACUGCCACCAGCGCUAUUACUGGGAAUUUGAAGACCUGAGUCUCUGCCAGAGCUUCAUUGCAAGUUCUAGUGACGCUCCAUCCAAAGUGAACUACGUCCUGUGCCUCCUGAUGGCUGAGUGUUCACCUGGACCUUCUGACCACCUUCCUUGUACUGUUCCAUCAGCCUAUAGAUCUGGUACCUGGAUUUUUGCCCAUGGUGAUUCCUUCACCUUACUGCUGAAGAAGACACCAUUCCAGUGGACCAUGGUGAUCCAAGAGGCAUUCAACCAUCAUGAUGUGGCCUUCAUCUCCACUCCUGUCGUGUUCUACCCAGAUUCAGCACAGCCCUUUAUAGUGAAGUCAAACUAUUCAAGCCAGAUAGCUGAAGCUAUUUUAUCACAGCAAAAGGCCCAGUUUGUUCCAUGAGUGUGCAUUUCGUUUCUUCAAUUAAAGCCUUCAGAGACACAUAAUAAAUUUGGACCAGGGGAUUUUUAGUUAUCAACACUGAAGAAUGGUAACAUCUUUCAAGAACGACGUUGGAUCAUACCCCACAAUUUCGAAUGAUUGAAAUUCGUGAAGUGUCUAGGGUCCUAUCCAGAUCACGGGACCCUAUUCUUUUUCAACUUCAAGUCUGUAGUAGCCUACUGAAUAGAAAGCAGAUAUUCUGACCAGCAGAUACUGGAAUUAAAACAAAGGCACAGUGAACUCAGCAUCUUUGGGAUUACUCAGGAACCAGAACUUUUCACACAAAUCUAAGAAAUUCUACCAAGGAAUCCCUUUAUCUAACAGCAUCUCACAAAGCUCCAAUCAGAUUCCAGAAAAGUCCUCUUGAUACAUCCAGGUAGAACCUAUCAUGGUAAUCCCUUAUGUUUAUAUAGCACUUUAUAGUUUCAAAGCACUUUUACAUGCAUAAAUCUCAAUUAUCAAAACAACACAAUAGAUUAUAAUUUCUUUUUGCAAAUGAGGAAAUUGAAGUUUAAAGGUUAUCCAAGGUGACAUAGCUACGAAGUGAUAAAGGUCAGGCCUUCUGACUCCCAGUCCAGUUCUCUCCAUGGAAUUAAUUUAGCCUCUACUUUACCUGCAGUGUUAAAAUGACUGGAGUUUGGUAACCCCAGAAAAGUUUCCCACUUCCUGAUCUGGUGCCCUCAGUCAGUCAGGAUGUCAUAAGUGUAAUUUUAUGAUGGCUCCAUCUAAGCCAGAAUUCUGUGGCACUACCCCUAAGGUUUAAGAGCAGACUGUCUCCUUAGUGGUAGAUUUAUCCAGUCAACAUGGCACAUGGUCAUCUGACAGUAAGACUACACAACAUGAAACACAAAGCUACUUCUAGAUCCGUUGUUCACAGUCUUCUCACAUUCCCAAAUGGCCUGAUUGGAAAUCCCUUUUCAUGUUUUGUUCUUUGUAAAAUUUUUAAAAAAGUUUUAUUAGUACUCUUGGACCCUGAGAUCUUAUCUAAGGUCUUCUAUCCCUCAAAAUUUACUUAAAAUGGAUCCUCCAUUUCUUUAGAGCAGUGCUGUUCACAUAUGUGUAUGUAUGCAUGUAUAUGAUGCAUGCAUACAACAUCUAUAUGUAGAGCUUGUGUAGUCUUGUAAGGUGGUAAAAUACGUGUUCCCUUCCCAAUUGAGUGUAGCAUAUUAAAGAAUCUCAGAAGACUUGCAACAAAGAGCCUCAUUGAGAUAUUUAGCCUAGUGUGUAGUAAGUUUAAUCAUGGACAGACUGUUCUUUUGGGAGCAUUCCUUUUAAUAGAGAAACUGCUUUGGAGCAGUAUAGCCAGUGCUUCCUGAUUGCCCUGAAGACUCAGGAGUAAACGGAAUCUUUGAAACCACCACCCUCUUUUCUUACUUUUGUCAGUAACUGCUUGAAUUUGUAUGUCUUUAUCAUCUGAGAGUCCUACAUCUUGACCGUUACCUCUUAUUUUCUGUGAAAGGAACCUCUAGAAGGUUUGUGGGGAUAUGUGGGAAGAGAAUGGGGAAAAGUUUAUUUUGCCCCCAAAUUGGUUGAAUUCCAUGACAUUUAACAACAUAUUUUUCUGUCCCUAAAAUUGUGCUGUAAACCUAGUUUAAGGGCAUUGUAUCUCAGGUGGGUGAGGAGAUUGGGAAGGGAAGGGAGGAGGAAAAGGAUGGUGGGAGAAAAGGGGGAGGAGAAUAAUAUUUUCAUAGAAUUUGAGUUGUGGCCCAUUGAGAUCUUCAAAGAUCUUGAAGAGAAGUUAUCUAGCCAUGGACUUGGGAUAAUACUUGCAAAGAAAUGAAAGCAUUUUGCAGCUGUAUGCUGACUGCAAAAAUCCCAGUGCUAUUGUCACUUAAAACCAAUAGCCCUGUUCACUGAUAGUCACAAACCCAAUUUGAGGCAGUCAGAAUUUAUAGCAGAGUUGAAUGUUAACUUCAUCAUUCUGUAAUGUGGUCCGUAUUAAGGAAAGAAUGAAUAGGAAAACACCUUGGCUUACCACAGGCUUUGCUCACAGUUUCUGGUUUCUGUGACCUAUUUUUUGUAUUUCAGCAUUUUGUGAACAACUUAUUCUUAGAUCAUUGGUUUUCCAAAGGCUUUGUGACCAUGAAGCCCUUUCAAUGAAAACUAUGUGGAAACCCAGAAUAAAAGAGAAGCUGCUGUAGAUGAAGCAGGAGUGGGGGGCCUGAAACCUGCCACAAGCAUCUUCCUUUACCACCAUGGUGACCCCUAAGGAGACUUCUUUACAACACCUAGAAUUCUUCAGAACACAGUUUGAAAACCACUGCCCUAGACAACAUGUGCAACCUGAAUGGCAUUCUGAUCUGUACCUCUACCCAACCCAGUCCAUGUUCAGUCGAUGCUGCACAUUCUUAGGAAUGCUUACUGUGGGCAAAGUCAGAAAAGUGCAAGAAGAUGGGCAUAUCUUUGCCACCCCAGGGUAGUCAAGUGGGCUGAAAGUGGUAUCAAAUGGACCUAGAUUAACAGCCCUGUACCCCCAGAUGGAUUUCAAAUGAGUGAUUCCUGGCAUUCAAUAUAGUCAGAGAGCAAUGCAUAUGUACUCUACACUGACACACUCCCUUACCCAACUUCUAUCACAAACACCACAUGCUCUAGUGGUACUUGAAAUACAUAACUUUGAAGUCUUGAUCUCCUUGGAUACCUGAAUCGCCAGGUAUUGAAGCUGGUACUAAAGUUGAUGAUGCCUCGUUGAGGCCAUAUAAGACCAACUUGUACAUUGGACCUCCCAUCAUCAGCCAUGGUACUCUACUUCGUGUGCAAGGGAUAACCAUUAACUAUGAAAGCAGAACUGAAAUUCUGGCAACAUUACCUAAAAAGGUACCCGGUUACUCAUGUUAUUCUCAAAACUGCAAGUCACUAUGACUCAACCAGUGGCAGUUACACUGCUCCUUGGUUUUUAUUCAGUUUAACUGCUGUUUCCAGGAUAAAUGAGGUAAUAACCUUAAAAAACAAAAUUUCCUCCAUCACUGGCAUAUCUGCUCCAAAAUUAUGAAUAUUCUGCUCUAACUACAGGUAACAUCUGGUCCACAAGAGACAAUUUUUGAACAUCCUCUGAUGUAUGUGAUUUUAAAUGUGACCCUUUGGAAGAUUUUCUUCUAACCAAUGAGAGAUGUUCUUUUAUGAUGGACCUUUUGAUGUCAGGUACCAUCAACUACAGGUGUUAGGAUUAUUUGGAGGUAGACCUUUUGACCAGGCCAUGGAGCUUGCUUGCUGGGCAUCUCAAGUUGCAUAUCUACCUUUUUGCUGAAAAUGUAGACUGACUUGAAAAAAAAUCUACAAAGCCUGCAGCUAAGAAUUUUAUCAGUAGACUCAAGAGCUUCCUGCAGCUUCUUCCUAAUGUCACAAGACCACAGUGUCUUGUCCUUGUGGAUAUUUUAAUGGAAUUUCAUCUGUCUCAAUAUUGUUUUACACUGAUUCAGAGUGGCUGACUUCAUUCCUUGCUAUGAGAUACUCUCAGGCAUUAAGACACUUAUCUGUUUCUGCAGGAUGGAUUCAAUUCAUGAACUCCCAGACCAGAUCAUGUCAAACAAGUAGACUUCGAUUUUUGUCAUGAGAAAAAUCUCAUUCUCUUACUUCACAGUCUACUUAAGGGGCAGCUGUCCUCAACUACUUUAAUGAAUGCACUGGUUAAAUGUUGGGAAUGAUUUCUUUGUAUCUUUGUCUCUUACUCUUUAGACUAACCCUGAUUACAUGACUCUGUCUACAAAUCAUCAAACAAGGCCUGCACAUCCUCAACUAAUAAAAAUCUAAUGACUA